UCAUCGGAUGCUUCAGCAGCUGGUGCCUAAAAGUGUUUGGGAAGAACAGAAAUGUUAUGUUUUCACUCCAGCAAAGCCCCACUCUAACCCACCUGCUGAACAGGAGUCACAAUUAAAUCAAAAGAAGGAAAAAAGCCCUCUGACACCAUAACUCUGAAGUAACAGCCUUCUAUACUUUUGGAUCAAACCACCGCUUCACAACUCCCACCUACUUCAAUUCCAGGGAUUUGCACCUGAGUGCCAAAACUUCUGAUUAUACCAACCCUAACAUCUUCUUCCACUCCAAAAGACAGAGGAACCAUGAAUACUUGGAAAAUUACUGCUCAUAAAAUAUCCUUUAAAAGAUGAUGUGGUCUCAGGGAUUACAAUUCAUAAAAAUGUACCUGUUUCUUACAGAGACUAAGUGAGUGAGGUAAUGUCUUUUAUUGGACCAAUUACCUCACCCACCUUGUCUCUCUAAUAUACUGGGACUGACACAGCUACACCUAUACCUAUUUCUUCAACACUUUUAGCCUAGUAGUGUAUAGCAAUUAUUUUAUACUAACGUGACAAAACUCACUAAAUGGGACCAUUUGUAUAAAGCCUCAAGAGACCUUCAUAAAGGUUAAUGGGCUAGAACAUUUGCCCAGUACUAGUGGUGUGGAGGGUCCUCUUCAGGGUCUCUCUCCCUCCCACCACUUCCCAAACAAAGAAAUGGUAGUGGUGAUCUACCUUCAGAGCACCUUCCUUGUGGAGUCCCUUCCAUAGGAUUGGGGGUUGAUGGUUGAAGAAGGGAAUCCAUUCCUGCCUCUCUCCCACGGGAAACUAAUGGAAUCUUAUUAACUGUUCCACAGCCUUCUCUUUACUGGGAAAGCACCAUCUUAAAAGAGGUUCCAGGAGCAGCCAAUGACUCGGGAUUUCUUGGUAGCACAAGCUCUUAUGGAGUCAUUCUGUCAGGGACACAGGAUCUCUACACAAAAAGCCAUGGCCUGCCACAGAUUCCAGACAUCAACGUCAAUCCCUGGCUUCUGGGGACAAAACUACUGGCCAUUCUGCAACAUUGGUGUGUGAUAUAUCUGUUCCCAGAACAGAAUGAUCCUGCACAAGGGAAUCCUGAUGGAAUUUUUCGUUUCUAGGCCUUCUCCUGCAGCUCUUUCCAUGGGAGGAGGGCCAAUGUCAUUUUAAUAAUUUUUCCUGAAUGAAUGGGAAGCCCAAAGAUGGCAACAUCAGGUGAUUAAUACAUCAUGUGAUUUUUUUCAACCCUACUUUAUUUAAUAAGGAUAUAUUUAAGAGGAUGAAAGCUAUUCUUAUAAUGAUAAACAAAAAGCUGUUAAAAGAAUGUUAAGGAUGAAAAUGUUAAUGAUGAAAAGUUAAAAUUGGACAGUGCCGGAAUUACAGUAGCCUCUGAAACCUACAUUUCAUCUCCUUGUGUGUACAUAUUGAUAGCCUCGCCCAGCAUCUCCUCAGAGUCUCUGAGAGAGCCACGAGUAGAACCCAGCUCCUCUGGGUCCAAGUCCAGAGCCUUACACACAAGAGAACAUUCUCCUUUUCCUUGCAACCCACUACUUCAUUCACUGUGCAAUGAAUGAGGCACUACUCUGGGCGAACAAAUACUAUGUGAUCAUUUAAUUAGACUGCAACACGAUGCUAUGUACUUGGGGGGGGCCACACUACCUAUGGACAGUCAACUUUAAUUGUGAUAUUUCCUAACUGUUGAAGGAUUAAGUUUGCACCUAACAUUCUAUUAACAGUUUUUUUAUGUAGUUUCUUAAGUUUUUUAAAAAGCAAAUUGAAAAAAACAAAGUGCAUCACGAGGCACCACAGUGAUUUCUGCAUGAGUCAGCAGCAGCAGAGUCUGAACUCAGGACCUUUUGACCCACAAAACAGCUAAAAGGGAAACUCAUGGUAUCAGUAGGUUCUCGUCUUCUAUGUAGAUUCGCCACUAUAUGGAGCCAAUACACACUUUGCUAGUGACUUGCGCAUGUCUGUUUGUGAGACAGGAGAAGAAUGCUCAGUCUCAAGCUUCUUAAGUUCUGUUACUGGCUCUGGAUUGUGGUCUACUGGCUCAACUGUAGAACUAAGUAUGUAGAUUUGUAACCUUUGUUCUGAAAGGCACAGUACCUAAGUGGAUGAGACUUGGGUCUGCCAUAUUCGAGACCUAUGUUCUAUUCCCAGCUGUCCCUGAAGUGACUUCGUGCAACCUUUCAGUUACUUCAAGUGUAAAAUGGGGAGGGAGAAUAAUAGUUGCCUGUCCCUUAAGGUGUAUGAGGCCUUGUUUAAUAAGGGCUGUUAAGAAUACAUUAUAAACAUCAGAAAGUGGAAGCAGAACUCAUGAUCUCCUGGCUUUUAUCCUAGCACUCCUUUGUAUAGGGUAAAGGAUAUUUUGCAGUUGCUGCUUUGCUUGGGUAUCCAUUCAGAGCCACAAAGAGAGCUGUGAGUCACAGAGCAUGCUCAGACUGUUGGAUUUUUCAGAUAUUUUAACAGGAAGCCUCUAACUUGCUCUGCUGAGAAUGUGCAAAAGGUGAUGCUCAAAGGCCUAUAAUUUGGCCACAUCUGGGUGAAUUUUCAACAGGUCAACAAAAGACACUUCUUUGAUCCCACAACUAUCCCCUGCCAAAUUUUGAGUUCCUGCUCUAAAGCACCAAGGAGCUUUAAAAAAAAUGGUUGGAAAUUUAAUAUUAAAAAAAAAAUCAGGAAAAAAUAGGUAGUUUUGCUAACUUCAUUCUCAGAAAAGGUAUUUUUUCUGAACAUUAAAAAAAUAUAUAUCUAGCCUGAGGAGAUAAAGCAUAGAAAAUUUUAAUCCCAGUGGUUAAAGUCUGACAAAUUAAUACGCAACUGAAAACAGGGCCUUACUAUGUACAGUGUAAAACACUUUCUUAUAGGCAUAGCUACCGGCACUGCCUACAAUUAUGGCUCUGUGGUCUCUAUUCCACACAUAUUGUUAGGAGAUUGAUGCUUUGAAUAGUCUCCCAUGGCAAGCAGUGAAAGAAUCAUCACAAUUUGUUUAAAAUUUCUUCAGACAAAUCACUCAAGAAUUUACCAUAGGGAAUGUUCCUGCACUGGAAGUAGUGUGAAAAAGAACACUCACUAGCUCUUUGCCAUCUGUAAUUUCUAAGAUACUGAUAGAGAUUCCUCUAACUGGGCAAAAUACAUAAUCUCAUUAAAAAUAUUAAAAAACUAA